rnacentral:lncRNA from 1 species
AUUUGGGCCAUUCGGAGUCAGAUACUCAUGGCAAGGGCAUUUUUUUGUAGUUGGUUUUGCACAGCGGUUCGAGGUAAGUGGCUUGUCUAACUUUGUGUGGGGGGACCUCUCCCCUUAAGAUAUAUUACUUGUUAUUUGAAAUGCCUUGUACACAGGUGACGAGCGUGUACUUAAGAUAAUUAUUGAAAAUCCAUUUUACUCA